UACGAAGGGGGCGAGCGUUGUUCGGAAUUACUGGGCGUAAAGGGCGCGCAGGCGGCCCUUGAAGUCAGGCGUGAAAGCCCCGGGCUCAACCUGGGAGGUGCGCUUGAUACUCGAGGGCUUGAGUGGCGGGAGAGGAGAGUGGAAUUCCCAGUGUAGAGGUGAAAUUCGUAGAUAUUGGGAAGAACACCGGUGGCGAAGGCGGGUCUCUGGGCA
rnacentral:rRNA from 1 species